CAUGACAGUCGCUAAGACCAGCGCUCAAACUAUCGUCAUAGUAAAAUGGAUAAUAACCGGGUUCACUGCUUUCGGAAAUCCAGGUGCUGCUAUUGUUACUGCUGAGAGAAAAGGUUACAGUGAUUUGGCCUAGAGUAUCCAAGAACCAGCUGGAAAAGACCGAACUAUUAGCUUUCUUGAUUGAGUAGCUGAAGUACUUCAUGUACUUAUUUGAAUCGAACUUGAAUUCAUAAUCAAUGUAGUGUCUGGAUACUUCUAAGUUCAAAUGAGAGCUUCCAUUGUUCGUCAAGAUUCCACUGGACCAGUAGAUUUCCCCGCGGCGCCAGACGAGUAACUGGUUAGCUCCUGAUGGGUCUAGUCCUAGUCUGAAUGCUCCUGGGACUGGGACUUGGUCAGUUAUCCAAGACGUAACUGAUACUUCUUUCUUGGUUCUUAGGUUAAACCCAAUCUUCAUCCCGGGAAGUAAUGUGUUUGUGGGAUGGUCAAAGCUUUGCCAUAGAACACGACCCGGAACUCCUCCUGGCCUGAUCUCUCGGACCACAAAGUUCCCGGUAUCGAGUAAAAUGGCAGACACAUUCCCGACCAAUGAAAGCUGCGCGGCUGGUCUUUGGUUCACCAAGAUUGGAAUAGCGUUUGCCUGUGUUAUCUUUAGAACCCCAUUGGUGUCAAUGGAUAGAGAACCAGAUGAAUCAGAAACUGAUUCGGUUGGGUUACCCACCCAAACUAGAUUUAUUGGAAUACUUUGAGGCCAAAUACCAAGAUAUCUAAGACCAGCUGACCCGAGUUCGGAAGUAGAUGAGUCUUUAGGUGUAAAGAAUCCGAGAGUGAAGAUACCAUCCGCAGAGAUCAACUGCUCCCAGUCUCUGAGCUGCUGCCCCGGUUUUAACGUAUCAGUUUUGAGUGGUGAAACGGCGAAAACCGAACUGAGAAAAGUCGGUAUGAGAAUGAGAAUGAAGGGAAGAAGAACGAUUGAAAGAGCCAUUUGUUGUUUGCUUGGUUAAGUGUUUCCUUAACUUUUAGCUCUCUUUUAAGAGAUAUUUAUAGCACCUUUU